rnacentral:lncRNA from 1 species
AUCGGAUUUUUUAUAAUCUCAACUAAUAGAGAAGGCCCUAAACUAGAAAUUUAUAAAAGAAAAAGUGAUGAAACCUUAAAGUCGAGCUCUACUCUUCAUGAUGAACCCUUAGAUACUUCUAAGCUUCCUCUUCAACUUCAAAAAGUUAUCAAAAAUUGAAUACUAAUGCAAUUUCAAUAAAAAUUAUACUACUCUAAAUUUAUCGUGUAGAUGCUUCUAUUCUAAAAUAAUUCAAUUUAAGAUAGUCAAUAGGUACUAAAAAAUGAUUUUUCAAACAUAGAGUACACAAAAUUACCAAUGUAGUAAAUCCCUUUUUAAUCAAAAAUUCACUAAAAAAUGAAUUUUAGACCAAUUUAAAUGUAUGAUAGCUUCUUAGAAAUCCCACAUCAAGAUAUACAAUCUCACAAGUUUCAAAAUAAAAUAAAAAAUAUAUAUAAAAAUUGAUUAAUGAAAAUCCAAGAGAAAAUCACUUUCUACUUAAUCAUAAAUUUUUUUAUUUUUUAUUUAUUUUUUAUUAUCUUUUGACUAUAAAAUUAAAAGAAAUUUUUUUAUAUCAACAAUGAAUAAAGAUAGAAGACUUAUAAAUGAUGGAAAAUAUAUUUGAAAUACUAAUUCAUAAAGUCCAC